GUUAGUAUCAUGGUGGGGGUAAUGUUGCCUAGCGACUAACGAUUGUAAUUGUCCGGCAGGAUACCUUUUCUAAUACUGAGGUAGCUUGACUGCUUGACCAAUAACCAGCUCCAGUUGCUCCCAACAGACGGGUAGAAAGAGGGUUGGUUCCAGAAUAAAAAUAGAGUGACUGCCCUAUUCAGAGGUGAAAGCCAUCCAUAUUCUCCAAAUCAGCAGCACAUUAUUUCUGACAAGUGAAGCUGAGUUCAAUAGGGUGCAGUAAAGUGGCUUAAUAAAGCAUCUUAUUCAAAAUAGAUGUGUCCAUACUAAAUACAACCUGGAAGAGGAAGCAGAAACAGAAGAGGACAGCAUCAUACACUGCGCCCGUCUCUGUGCUCUGAAAUCAUUGCACUCUCUCCUCUAUUUUCUAUAUUUAAUCUAGAAAAAGUAAUUUUUCCCCUUUAAAUUCAAUACUGUUUUCCUUUUAUUUUGUCACACAUUCCAGCCCUUCAUUCAAAUGUCUAGUCCUGGGUCAGGAAGUACUGAAUGUUUUCAUGGGCAGCAGAGUAGUGUGACCACUUGACAAAUGUUUACUGAAAUAAAUAAUUGGAUAACGUUUUCCAUUGAUUCAUUCCAAAAAUAAUUAAGAUUCUUAAAUGUACUAAACACUGUUAUGAAUAUUAGAGACAGAGCAUAAAUAAAUUUCUGAUUCAUCAAUGUGUUAGACAAAUACUAAGUAAGAUAAAUAAGUAAAAUCUUGGACACAGGCUGGA
rnacentral:lncRNA from 1 species